rnacentral:misc_RNA from 1 species
CGCACCUUGCGCUCCUUGGUAUUCCGAGGAGCAUGCCUGUUUGAGUGUCAUGGAAUCCUCAACUGCAUUCACUUUUGUGAAUGGAGCUUGGAAUUGGAGGUGUUGCUGGCUUUCCCCCCUGUAUUGGGUGGUUCAGCUCCUCUUGAAUGCAUUAGCUUGAGCCUUUGCCGAUCAGCUUCGGUGUGAUAAUUGUCUACGCCGUUCUGUGAAGUCAAUCAGCCUCAGCUUCCAAUGGUCCCUCAGUGGACAAAGAUCUUGACCUUUGACCUCAAAUCAGGUAGGACUACCCGCUGAACUUAA